rnacentral:rRNA from 1 species
GAUGAACGCUGGCGGCGUGCCUAAUACAUGCAAGUAGAACGCUGAAGUCUGGUGCUUGCACUAGACGGAUGAGUUGCGAACGGGUGAGUAACGCGUAGGUAACCUGCCUCAUAGCGGGGGAUAACUAUUGGAAACGAUAGCUAAUACCGCAUAACAGUAUUUACCGCAUGGUAGAUGCUUGAAAGGAGCAAUUGCUUCACUAUGAGAUGGACCUGCGUUGUAUUAGCUAGUUGGUGAGGUAACGGCUCACCAAGGCAUCGAUACAUAGCCGACCUGAGAGGGUGAUCGGCCACACUGGGACUGAGACACGGCCCAGACUCCUACGGG